AUGCAACGCACAAUAGAAUCAGAAAUCUUCUUCUUCUCGUCUCUCUCUCAUUCCAAAAAUCCUCUCGUGAAUUUUCUUUCGUACUCUUCCUUCUGCAUUAGGGCUUUCCUUCAUGCUCCACUGUUUCCAUUCUCCGCAGGUGCAGUGCACCCAACGAUAGGGUUUGCUUUUGAUCCCCAAUUUCUAAUAAUGAUCGAAGGGUCUACUUUGGAGGUGAUAAUGUGGAGGGGUUUUUCCAAGCAUCUACAUUUGUAG